rnacentral:rRNA from 1 species
UACGUAGGGUGCGAGCGUUGUCCGGAAUUAUUGGGCGUAAAGAGCUUGUAGGUGGUUUGUCGCGUCUGCUGUGAAAAUCCGAGGCUCAACCUCCAGCCUGCAGUGGGUACGGGCAGACUAGAGUGCGGUAGGGGAGAUUGGAAUUCCUGGUGUAGCGGUGAAAUGCGUAGAGAUCAGGAAGAACACCGGUGGCGAAAGCGCUCUGCUAGGCCGCAACUGACACUGAGGGACGAAAGCUAGGGGAGCGAAUGGG